GAGAGAGUGGGACCUAGUCUGAGAGAUUGCUAACCUUUCGAACCUGCGGUUAAACCCCGCAGCUCCCUCG
rnacentral:tRNA from 1 species